rnacentral:lncRNA from 1 species
UUUUUCAAAAAGACGCUGUUAUUGCUGGUGUAUCAGGUGGAGUUGCUUGAUUUUUGGUCUUAUGCGGAUUGAUCGUUUAUUGUUGCAUCUGUUGUCGUCAAAGAAAAAGACGAAGCGGUAGAUACUGUUGUGCAUGUCUAACAAAUAGACCGGGAAACAUAAGUAAGUCUGACUGUUUUCAUAAAAUGAAGAGCGAAUAUAGUUACCAAAGGCACAAGGAUUACAAUUUGAUACGAAUAUAGACAACGCAUUGCAAUGUGAUGAUUUGGUUUUUUUUUCGUUUUUGGUUUCGUACUUUUUCAUACGGUGUCAGUAUGAUAAUGUGUAAAUAAAUCAAAAACAAUGUGUGUAUGCACUUGUUUGAACACAGUUUGUUAAACUAAAAUCAAUGGAAAACAUGUAUUUUUUUUUUUUUUUUUUUGCAUUUUUUAUUCUUGUUUGACUUAUAAAAGUGUUACUUGAAUUUUAAAGGAUUUUGAAAAGCUCCAGUUCUAUUGUUGAUAAUAUAUUAUUACCUAAUUUCAUAUAUGUAUGUGUUUGUAGAUGCAGGAGGUCUUUCGGCAGAAUGCUCCGUAAAUGAACUAUUGUUAUGUUCCUGUAUCUUGUGUAGACCACGGAAGCAGAAUGAAAGUGUACAGGGAUCAAAUUUACUUGACAAGGGUUC